UCGAACGAUGAUGCCAGCUUGCUGGUGGAUUAGUGGCGAACGGGUGAGUAACACGUGAGUAACCUGCCCUUAACUCUGGGAUAAGCCUGGGAAACUGGGUCUAAUACCGGAUAUGACUCCUCAUCGCAUGGUGGGGGGUGUAAAGCUUUUUGUGGUUUUGGAUGGACUCGCGGCCUAUCAGCUUGUUGGUGAGGUAAUGGCUCACCAAGGCGACGACGGGUAGCCGGCCUGAGAGGGUGACCGGCCACACUGGGACUGAGACACGGCCCAGACUCCUACGGGAGGCAGCAGUGGGGAAUAUUGCACAAUGGGCGAAAGCCUGAUGCAGCGACGCCGCGUGAGGGAUGACGGCCUUCGGGUUGUAAACCUCUUUCAGUAGGGAAGAAGCGAAAGUGACGGUACCUGCAGAAGAAGCGCCGGCUAACUACGUGCCAGCAGCCGCGGUAAUACGUAGGGCGCAAGCGUUAUCCGGAAUUAUUGGGCGUAAAGAGCUCGUAGGCGGUUUGUCGCGUCUGCCGUGAAAGUCCGGGGCUCAACUCCGGAUCUGCGGUGGGUACGGGCAGACUAGAGUGAUGUAGGGGAGACUGGAAUUCCUGGUGUAGCGGUGAAAUGCGCAGAUAUCAGGAGGAACACCGAUGGCGAAGGCAGGUCUCUGGGCAUUAACUGACGCUGAGGAGCGAAAGCAUGGGGAGCGAACAGGA
rnacentral:rRNA from 1 species